rnacentral:piRNA from 1 species
UGUCCAACUCGUCUAUAUUUUGACAAGGUC